rnacentral:rRNA from 2 species
UGAGGAAUAUUGCGCAAUGGGGGAAACCCUGACGCAGCGACGCCGCGUGAGUGAGGAAGGCCUUCGGGUCGUAAAGCUCUGUCAAAGGGAAAGAAGUGCAUGAUGGCUAAUACCUGUCAUGUUUGACGGUACCCUUAAAGGAAGCACCGGCUAACUCCGUGCCAGCAGCCGCGGUAAUACGGAGGGUGCAAGCGUUGUUCGGAAUCACUGGGCGUAAAGGGCGCGUAGGCGGUUUGAUAAGUCAGAUGUGAAAGCCCACGGCUUAACUGUGGAAGUGCAUUUGAAACUGUCAGACUUGAGUAUCAGAGGGGAAAGUGGAAUUCCCGGUGUAGAGGUGAAAUUCGUAGAUAUCGGGAGGAAUACCGGUGGCGAAGGCGACUUUCUGGCUGAAUACUGACGCUGAGGCGCGAAAGCGUGGGGAGCAAACAGG